CCUACGAGAGGCAGCAGUGAGGAAUAUUGGUCAAUGGGCGCGAGCCUGAACCAGCCAAGUCGCGUGAAGGAAGCCGGUCCUAUGGAUUGUAAACCUCUUUUGUCGGGGAGCAAAAGACGCCACGCGUGGCUUUCCGAGAGUACCCGAAGAAAAAGCAUCGGCUAACUCCGUGCCAGCAGCCUCGGUAAUACGGAGGAUGCGAGCGUUAUCCGGAUUUAUUGGGUUUAAUGGGUGCGCAGGCGGAAGAUAAAGCCAGCGGUAAAAUUGAGAGGGUCAACCUCUUCGAGCCGUUGAAACUGGUUUUAUUGAGUGAGUGAGAAGUAUGCGGAAUGCGUGGUGUAGCGGUGAAAGGCAUAGAUAUCACGCAGAACUCCGAUUGCGAAGGCAGCAUACCGGCGCUCAACUGACGCUCAUGCACGAAAGUGUGGGUAUCGAACAGGAUUAGAUACCCCGGUAGUC
rnacentral:rRNA from 1 species